rnacentral:rRNA from 1 species
GUACACUCCUGCGGGAGGCAGCAGUGGGGAAUAUUGGACAAUGGGCGCAAGCCUGAUCCAGCCAUGCCGCGUGAGUGAUGAAGGCCCUAGGGUUGUAAAGCUCUUUCACCGGUGAAGAUAAUGACGGUAACCGGAGAAGAAGCCCCGGCUAACUUCGUGCCAGCAGCCGCGGUAAUACGAAGGGGGCUAGCGUUGUUCGGAUUUACUGGGCGUAAAGCGCACGUAGGCGGACUAUUAAGUCAGGGGUGAAAUCCCGGGGCUCAACCCCGGAACUGCCUUUGAUACUGGUAGUCUUGAGUUCGAGAGAGGUGGGUGGAAUUCCGAGUGUAGAGGUGAAAUUCGUAGAUAUUCGGAGGAACACCAGUGGCGAAGGCGGCUCACUGGCUCGAUACUGACGCUGAGGUGCGAAAGCGUGGGGAGCAAACAGGAUUAGAUACCCCUGUAGUCCC